CUCCUACGGGAGGCAGCAGUAAGGAAUAUUGGUCAAUGGGCGAAAGCCUGAACCAGCCAUGCCGCGUGGAGGAUGAAGGUCCUCUGGAUUGUAAACUUCUUUUAUUUGGGAAGAAACCCACGAUUUCUAUUGUGGUUGACGGUACCAGAUGAAUAAGCACCGGCUAACUCCGUGCCAGCAGCCGCGGUAAUAC
rnacentral:rRNA from 1 species